GUGAUGUUCCUGGUGGGCUUGAGGCGAUACAGCACUAUUUUCCAGUGUGGUGCCUAUAAGAAAACCAGAACCAGAGGACAAGAGAAAGGACCGUUUGGCGAUCUGCACUCCAAGAUGAAUUGGGAAGUGAGUGUUAGUGCAGUUGUAAGAAACCUGAUAGUGUGUGGUGCCUGUUUAACCGGCUGUGAGGGAAAAGGUCACAGACCUGGCUAUUGCCGCUCACCUGGAGUGCUAGCUUACCCCUCCAUCACAAACUCGGCAGCUGGCUUCAGCAAAGUGCUUAGAAUCACUGUCCGCCUCAAGCACAUGCUUGGCUUGAGUGGAAGGGGGACACGUGCUUCAGGAUGUGCUGGGACUUCUGUGGGCAGCUCCGGUGACCAGAGAGGCCUGCUUCAGAUUUUGGAAGUGAGAAAACUGAGAUCAGUAUUUUCUUAAAAUCACUGGCAACAUAAUCCAAGAUAAAUAUCUGGCAAGAUAAUGCAGAGCAUCUGAGGAACCUGAAGAUGUAAUCUCCACAUCUGACGUAUACCUUUAUAGUCUCUAAAAAUUGCCUAGUAUAAAUUACCGGGAAGAGAAAGAUGUGCAGCAUUAAAACAGUCCCACAGCCUCUACCAAGAGGUCUCCAGUGCUGGCAGAACAAGCCAAAAAAAGGGAACUGGUGGAUUACAUGGAAUCUGUGAUGCAAGAUGAAAACUCCAAGAUGUUGGAGGAAUACCUUCAGGAGUGCAGAAAGAGAUGCAAAAGUGAAAGGGGAUGGAAAUGUCCCAGUAGCCUACAUUUAUUUGUAAAUUAAAACAAAAUACCAACAACAACCAAACAGGAGCGUUACCAGGAUUUAUUCAGGUCCAGCAAAUCUUAUGCAAAAUUGCAUAUGCAAAUCUUAUGGAAGAAGCCAUGCAACCACUCCCAGGCAAACAGAAUGAGAAAAAACUAACAUAUACACAUCUGUAUGGAUCAGCUUUCUACCUAGUCUGCUCCAUACUUGCUUUUAAGAAAAGCAGUGAAUGGAGGUUGUUUCUUCAGAGAGAAUGAGGUUGUGGAUCUGUGUCAAACUGAUGUCAUGAUAUAAGGUAUUUUAGAAAGAAAUUACUAGAAUGAAUAUUCUAUAAUCCUGAUUGGAUUGGUGGUAUAUGUAAUAAGGAAUGAGAUUAAUAACUGAUUUUAUAUAUAUAUCUAUCUCGAGAAUGAGUUAUAAAUUCUUCUGAGGGAAGUCAUGCACACAAACCUCUCAGGGUUUUUAAAGGAGACCACAAACAUAAUGAUUAGGAUAAUUUGAUUAAAAUUUACUGUUUUUUUAAAACACGGUUCAUAACUUUCCUCACUAUAAACUCUUAAAGAAAUGUAAGCAACUCCUGUUGUGGUUUCAUAGGUGACUAACAGGCUCACACUUUUAUGAAAUAAAAGUUAAAGUAAGUAGCAAUCAUCAUUUUAAUGAUACAGUCGAGUUUACCGAUGUGGUUUUAAGAGGACUCUGCUGUUCUGUACAUCCAUUAAUCACCAGGAAAAGGUGUGAACUCCAAAACGGCAAUGCUUUCUGACAGAAAAUUACACAGGAGAGUUACAGCAAAAGCUGACUCUGAAAACUGUUGAAGAAACUCACAAACGAAAUGGUGGGGUGGAUGAGUGGCAGGAGUAAUUCAGUGUUGAUAUUUAUAAAGACAGGAAAAAAUAACUCUAAAUACACUCUUGCCAUUCAUGGAGGUCUUGGAGUCGUUAUAGAUACUGUAGAGUCAUUCUGUGAAAAACGUCAAUUCAGUACUCAGUGACAGAGAGAAAAGAAGGACAUAAGGAAUCACCGAGAAGUGAGAUGAAUGCCAGCAACAACAAUGAGCCACAUCCUGGGCUGAGAGCAGCUCUGCUCACCCCUCGUCUUCCUCCAAAAUAAAUAUCUAAUUGCACCAGUGUUGGAACAGAAAAGUGUGAGAAAGGACAACCAGAGAAGAUAGAAAAUAAUGAAGACUUUGUCUCAGAAAAUAGGUAGGUUUAGAAAAUCCUCAAAGGUGCAGAGAAGGUGACUAGGGGAUAAUUAUGAUUAUUUAUUAUUUCCCAGAACAUAAGACCUAAGAUAACCUGAUGAAAUGAGGAGGCAGAAGAAUCAAAAGGAAUUACUUUUAUAUGCAUUGCUCUAUUAAAUUUUACAACUUAUUCCCAAGUGACGGUGUAGAAGCCCAGGGUGCGAACAGCUUCAAAAAGUAACUACACAGGAAGAUCUCUAAAUUGAAGAUCUUUUUUUUUUUCAUUUAAACAGUUAUCUUUGGACAGUUAACUUGUCUUGUUUAAAUAUACUUUUAAAAAUUUAUGUGUGUUAAUAUGCUAAACUGCACUACUUUUAUCAUCCGCGAUCUUUCCUGUGUCUAUAUUUCACACAGCAAUUGCCCUUCCCCUUUGUCAAAAUUUGCUUACGGAAGUUCAGCUUUCAUCUGUAUGUAUGAGGAUUAACUUAAGCCAUCCUUUGAAAAAUGGAGUUCUGUCUAGCUUUAAUUGGGUUGCACAGGUGAUUUAAGACUGUCCAGUUUUCUGCAGAUGGAGGACAUAAGUAGCACAUCUUUAAGUUUUUCUGACACCAGCAUUUGCAGGGUUAAGUUUGAAACAGCUACGUACUAUAAUAGCAGGAAAAAUGCUGAUGUAUUUAUUUUUUCAACUGCUUAUGGACAGUUAUGUUGUGGAUACUUUUUCUUCUGCAUGUAACACCACCUUAAUGAAGCACCUGCACCAGUCGCUCCUUCAGUCAGUCUCCAGGCUACUACAGACAUGGCUGGACCAGAUCAAAUUAAGGGGGUUAAAUGCCAAUAAGUGAGGAAUUUCAAAACCCAAGCUUGCAACAGUGCAUUAAGAGGUCAGUGCUCCAGGAAAAUGCUCGAAAAUUCCUGCUCACCGUUAAUAAAAGUACGGUGCACAUUUGCCUGAAUUCUAGUGCCAUCUCUGCGGUUUAAUACCCCUCCUCAUUUCAAGACCCAGCCCCUGGGUCCCACCCUAAAAGUAGGUACCUUUCCAUUUUCACGGCAAACAUCUGGCCAAGAAAUGCAAGAUCUCUGUUCAGUGCUUUGCCAGAGUCAGUUCGUCUCCUCAUUCUGGAAAAGGGCACUGGAUUAUAGCCUAACGAUGACUCGCCAGCAUCCCCCCUGUGGAAAGUGUGCCAAUGUGAAGAAGGGAAAGCAAGUUUCAUGGCACUAGAGACAAGCAGACAUAGGACCCCAUGGCUCUCCUUCCAAAUGACCAAGACUGCAGGGAGGAAGAGAUCUGAUCUGGAUUUUCUAACACUGUUUAUCUGCUCAAAUUCAUGGCUUAAGGCAGCAGGAAAAAUCCAAAAGACUAGCCCUGCACCACCCCUGCCUUCAUCCAACCUGUCGUACUUGCUCUCUCUGCUCUUUUUCCUGGCUCUGUGGGUAACCCAUGCACCAUUUCAGGCAUGGUGACCCCAGCUUGAAGCCAGAGAGAGUACACUAGUGUUGGUUACUCCUUCAGCACUACAUCAUGGUGAUAGGGGACUGGUUUGGCAGACAGAUCUGACUGGCGAAAUCCCAGCAGAUCAGAGGGGAACUGUAGAUUACUACAGAACGGGUGGAUAAGCCUGGCCAGUAUGUGGUCACCUCCCCCCGGCUAGACUUAUAGCAGCCCCUGGGGAAGCAAGGUGACUUGUCUUCCUCCUUUCUGGAUGCCUGUAGCUGCUGGGUGUGGGCCGAGUGCCUCACCAUCCAGCUCAGGGCAGGUCUGUACACGCAAGGGUGGGUUGGCAGUCCGUGGGCAACCCCCAGAUGAAGCAGCAGGUGAGCUGGUAUGCUGAGCUGUUCCUGAGGCUACGUGGCUGCUGAGUGCAGAAGUUCAUGAUGCAAGGUGCCUCUGUACAUCUCAAAUCUGGCCGUAACACUGGGUUAGGUGCUUGUGGUCUUUGGGUGAGAUCAGGCUGCUGGUUUCUCCCCUAGCACUUCACUUUGGGGUGUUUGAGCUGCACCACAUACAACGACCUGUAUGAGAUGCAUGUUAAGGGACAGAGUCAAAUAACAGAGUCAAAAUCAAAUGUAUCUUUCUCAUUUCUGGGCACUGCACACGAGUAGCAACACUGGAGACUCAUGGGUGGGUAGCUCGUUAGUGGGAGCUGCUUUGGGCUCCCAGUCAGCAUCAGUGACAGCUGACUUAAAGGUAUCUUUUGUUUUUAUUCAUAUCCGCUAUGCGCAACGAAUCUCACACUGAGGUGAACUCCAUAGCGUGCUGAAAUCAUCUGUUUCAUCAGGAAAACUCCCUCAUGCACGUGCUUAUUCCUCCAGCUAAAAAUAUCCCAAAGCAAAACCUCCGAAAUGGCACCCUCCUCUGGCUCAGCCGCACCCACAGCCAAACACACUUAUCUGGCAAUCGCAGCAGCUCCGAUGGAGCUGAAAACUGCAGGAAACUUCAUAGCAAAACAAAUAGCACUGUGACGAACACACGCAAAGCUCUGGAGAUCCUGAUUCCUGUCACCCGACUGCAGCAUAUCAAAUGUCAAGAACCAGCAAGUACAAAACAGCGCCCAGCCGGCACGCCUUCCCCUCGGCCAGGUGGGAGCUGCGCACGCUGCCCUGGCCUUCCCUCCAUCACAGCAAUGAAAGCCGCUCCCGGGAGGCCAACCACAGGACUAAAAAAUUCCAUUUACAGCACGUAUAUUCCACAGAGGUAAUCCCCAGAACACAGGCACUUCCAGCAGGCAUAUGAUUUCUAUAGAGAUUGCCACGAAACAACAGAGUGCAGGAUUUGGCUCUCUCUGCUGUAACGAGGUGAAAUUUAUACAUAUAUACAUCAAGGUUUGGCGGUUUCCAGAAUUAGUUUAUUGUGUGUCACCCUCUAGCAAGGAUGGGAGGCUCAAAGCCUCCUUGCAAUUUCAGCAGGUGCUUGCUUCUGUGUAAGGAUGGAGGGCCAAAAGCUUGCUGCUCUUGCUCCCAGCGAACGCACGUUGCAUCAGCCGCCUGGUGGCACAGCGCACAGUGCAAGGCUCUGCCUGACUUUAUGAUACACCUCUUGCUCUCACUCACACAGAUCCUUUUAUGCAUUUAGAAAAACCUGCACCCAAAGGAAGUUCCCAGAAGCCUCAAGUUUUGCCUUCUGUUGUAGAUGACACGUCACCAGGAAAUGGAGCUUCUCUAGAAAUUACUAAGACUUUUUUUCAAGUGGGCACAGCUUGUAAAGCAUGUUGCAAUUUGUCUUCAGGAUAGAUCAGGACUAGACUUUUUUUCCACAUUCACAUGGGAUUGUAAUCAUACACACACAAGCACCAGUCCACCUGCAGCACUGGGGCUGAAGGACUUGCUCCGAGAAGCACAGCAGCUGGUGACGGCUUAUAGUCGUGCUCACCUACCUCUUAGUCCCAAAGCUUGUGAAAGGAAACUCUGUGUCUGGCCCAGAUGCAGCCCGAUGCAGCUCCUGAUGUACCUGUGCACUUGUUGGGGUGCCUGAAAGCAGAAGCAAGAAGAGAUUUGUAGGAAAGUGGCCAAAGCAGAGCUUGCUUCUCCUCCUGUAGCUCCCACUGCGAUCCAUGUGCCUGGCAGGAGGCGUAGCGCUUGCCUCAUACCGCCUCGUGAGGUGUGUGACCAGGGAGCUGCCUGACUUUGGCUCUACCGAUUAUUUUUUUCAGUAAUACCCUGGACGUUGUCAAGCUAAGAAGCGACUGCUUUGUCCAUUUCAACUAUUUUCACUUUGAACCCCAGCACAAGACUUGGAGCAGAUUAGGAAAGAGCCAGACACCUAAGGUCUGUACUGGUCCCAGGUUCGCUUGGGAGUUUUAUGAAAAGCAGCACAAGUUUGGAGAUAACAGAUACUUUCCAUCUGGGACUCAACACACAACCGGGUGAUCCACACAACCCAGCAUGCUUAUAGAUGUGGGGUUUUAAAUUUCAAGGCAAAUUAACACCAGCCAGGAGCUUACCUUGUCAGGCAUCUCGACAACUGAUGCCAAAGCCUGGAACCCCCACGCGAACCAAGCUGGCCACACACUAGGUCAGUGCUGAGGCAGGAAGGCUUAAUGUUGUGGGGAAGUUGCAAAUGAAGCUGCUUCUUGUUGUGGCUUCAUUCUGCAGCUGGGAAGAAGGCAUUUGGUCUCAAAAGCUCUCAGCUGAGAACUAUUCACAAGCAGUAAAAUCUUCUCCAAAGGAAAACAAGCAAAAGACAGAAGACAUUUCAAGUGGCUUCAGCAAUGCAAGACACAAAAAAGUGAGAAAACGAUACAGACAUUUCUCACCACCCUUGCGCUUACAGAAUUCCAAUUCCUUCUUAACUUUUUUUGUUGAAAGAAAAACAUUGUUUCAAGAUAAUGAAAUUUAUGGUCUACUGAAAAAAAGUCAGCUAGUGAAAAAAGUCAGCUAUGUGACCUCCUGACAUUUCAUGACCAAAAUCCUAACAAGUUAUGUGGGGACAUAUGGUUCUUUCUUUUUCUUAAUUCAUCUCAGUUUUUUAAUAAUGUGUCAUAUUCUAAUUCCAAACAUUUCACUGUUUCAAAAGCUCCAAGCUGUUGCCAGUAACACUAUCUGGCUUGAGUCAACUGUGACACUACCAGAAAAAAUGGUGCUCCUAUCUAGAAGCCUUUCUUCCUAGAGCUUUUCAGCUUCGAGGAGUUUGCUGAGCCUAGGCAAGGGUUUUAAACUGAAAGAAGCUAAAUAUAAGCAGCCAACUUCAUGGCCACAGGGGAUCUGGAGAGCUGAAGGAGCACUUUCUACAUUGCCUCCUGUGAACCACAGCUGAGGAGCACCAAGCCACCGAGCAGUGAGGAGCACCUCUCUCUGGUGAAAUAUCUCAGAUAGAUGGAAGAGGUCAAUUAAUAGCCUAGAUUGCCCUCAACUAUUAAGACAGAUUAAAAUGUCAAGCCCCUCCAAAGCUAGAAUUUAGGGCAUUUUGUAUUCCUUGCCUGGCCUUUCACGGAGCUGGGGGCCAUCUGCACAUCCUGGGCCCUGUCCAGCUUCACGCUCCCAGUGCCUCAGUGCAGUGAUGUUCAGUUUUGGUGGUUUGGCCCCCAUUAAAUUUCAAAAGAAGUAAAACGAAAUGAUCUUUUUUUUUCUUUCCAUUUGGCCUAAUAAGCACUCCAUAUUUCUAAAUUACCAUCUCUUUACAUGUGUUCUCUGUAGAGCUGCCAGUCAACGUCAAAUGAGGUGUAUAAAUCAAAACUCUGGUUAUGUUCUGAUAGCAUUAUAUAGACUGGCAGAAAAACACAGGUGAACGAGUGUCACAUCUACAUGAGAUUUUUUUCUCCCUUUUUAAAUUGAGACAUCUGUCUAAUCUCAGUACUUCCCAGUAAAUGAAUAUAGGCACCUCAGAAGCUUAUCUGAGCUUGAUAUUAAAGAAAAACAUUUCUAUGGGCACAUUUGUACCUGUCAGCACUUACUGUAGAGUUCUCUCUAUAUAUACAUUAGCGUGAGUGACAUCAGAAUGAUUAAAAUGAUUGUUAAUGUUAACACCGGUUUUGCACCCAUUUUACCCUGUUUUGAAAGGGAGACUUUCCUUGAACCCAAGUGCAAGUGGGUAUUGGAUUGUUUUUCAAAAACUUUGUGGAAACCAGGGAAGGACAAAGUCAAAGAGAAGGCAAGACAGCAAUGCACAUGGCACGGGAUAACGGAUAUAUACAUCUAUCUAUAUGCUGGACUGAUGAGCCUUCUCUGAGCUGUUUCUGCAAGGCAGUCCAAUGCUGAACAAAAGUACAGCUAAGACUUGCUUUUCCCCACACCCAGCCACAUCCACACUUGAGCGAAAUGCCUUACAUGUAAACCAAGCCCACUCAAAGACAUCUCAACCUUGACAUUCUGUUUUCUUUUGCAAAACUCCGUUUCUUUACAACACCACUUGCCUGGCAUGCUCCCACGUGAAGCAGAGUUAUCAGAAUAAUAAUUAACAGGCUCUCAUUAAUUUAGGAUCAAACAAUACCCCCUAAUGAAGCAGGGACUGACCAAUGUGAUCCCUUAAAGUGAGGCGUAUGCUUUUCUUACACCUCGUGGCAUCUAAUCUGCCGUAACCAUUAGGCACCGAGCUGACCGUAAAGGCCCGUAUAACAUUGAGUCAAGGACAGUUAAUGGAUGCCGGAGCACAAACAAGAGUGCUCCAAGCAUGUCAGUCAAGACUAACCUGAGGCAAAAACAUCAAAAUGCAGGUUGGAGUUUUGACAUUCCUGCAGGCUCUGUACGCCUCGCCAGUGAAUUUUUAAAGUCAAUAUCCCCCUCCUGCUCGUGAACACUUUCUAUCUGAUGAGUAGCAGUAAUGUGGAUCUGAUUGAACUGUGACUAAAGUAUUACUUAAAAGGCAGCUUUGAAUGCGUGCGCGUGUGUGUGUUGUUGUUUUUUUUUUUAAUAAAUGUCUGUGAUAACAAUAAAGACAGUUUACACAGAUUAUCACAGGCUGUGUCUUUAGACUUCAAGGUUAUAUGAUUAGGAAAUUAGAAAAGAGAUGAGAUUAGAAAAACCACAGAACAUUUUGAAAAAGAAAGCUUUUUACAAAUUAUCUGUGUACUGAAUUUGCACAGAAUCUGAUAGAUAAAUCUUCUCAUAUUUGGAAAUGGAUAAAUGCUACAAUGUAAAUAGAAGGAACCAGCUUGGGAGCACACGCCUGGCAAAAGUUCAAAAAACAUAUUAAGUAUUCUAAUUUGCUUAAAGCUUACUUAUAAAAAAAUGCAUAUUGUGAUAUAAAAUGUAAUGAUUUCUGCAUGGAAAUGUAAUGAGCAAUAAUAAUUGCUCUGGAUGAGCAUAGUACAGACUGUUAGAAAGUGUGGUCCCUUUGCCUUCUGAUUUCACAUUAAACCUUUAUUUACUUUUUCCCCUUUGCACAGUGGAGUGAAAUGAUUAAGGCAAAUGGACAUACAAUUUAAGCCAAGAUCAUUCCUAGUAUUGGGCAAUACACGUGAGCACGUAGGAUGCCAUAAAAUUGGGGUGGUGGCAGCAAUAAACACACUUCCUAUUACUGGAAAAGAAGGUGUGUUUUCAAGGGGAAAUUAUAUUAACUGAAGUGGUACAUUAGUAUUUAGAAGUCCUGACCAAAAUUUCCAAGCAAGCUAUAAAACUUGAUUAAUUUAGGAAGCCAACAUUUUCAUGCAUUCUUUGGAGAGUUUCUGAUACUGCACUCAUGGUGAACGUUUUGAUGGGGGUCAUUUUGCUAUUAAAGUACAUCAGUGGGUGAGCCAUUUGAUGUGUUUUUCAUUUGUCUUGUGACCUUUCACUUGGCACUGUCCUGUUGUUUCUUUGGUUGUAACUUUUUUAACCUUUUAAUUUUUCCUGGACUUGAGAUCAUGUGUAUUCCAGCAACACAGCAGCACAAAUAUUUUGCAUUAACUGCACACAUCUUGGGCAUAUUUGUUUUUACUUUGGCUCUUGCCUUCAUGUACCUUUGCUAUGUCCUAUUAAACAGUUGUGUUUCAGUCCAGAGAUGGUUGUAUUCAUCAGCAGAGAAACUGUCACCUCAAAAGUAUAUGGCUUGUUAAGAGCUCAGGUACCUCUGGGUCCUUUGGGAAUGCACUGUGCUAUACAAAUAAAUGGGUUAUAAAUUUCUAAAUACUUUUAUUUUCCUACAGAAAAAAAAAGAUGGAAAGUCUUUAGCUAAA